UUGGUAUAUUUAUUUUAUGUGUACGAGUAUUUUGCCUGCAUGUAUGUAUGUACACUGCUUGUGUACCUGGUACCUUAAGAAGUUAGAAGAGAAAGUUGGGUUCCCUGGAACUGGAGUUAUGGAUGUUAAUGGGCCACAUCGUGGAUCCUGGGAAUCAAACCUGGGACUUCUGCAAGAACAGUGUUCUUAACAACUGAGCCAUCUCUCCAGCCCUGUAUGCUGAUUUAAAAAAGAAGUCCAGAAGUCCUCAUUUGAUCAGAAGUGCUCGGGAAAAUAAAAUUUACUAAUAUAACAAUUUGUAAAAUGCAAACGAUUCAUCACCAUAUUCUGCUGAAUUUGUGUAGCAUUCUAAAACUGAUUUUUUUCAUUAAAAUGUUCUGAGCUGUCCCAGCUUCACAGAUUACAUCAUAUAGCCAAGUUGUUGGGUGAUAGCAAUUCCUUUGCCCCUGAGAUGUUACACAAUGAAAUCGUAUUGCCCCUAAUUUUCAUGGGGACAUCUGUAGUGUUGUCUUCACAGACGAACACCGCCCCUCCCCCGGGGUGGGGUGUUUGUCAUGAAUAAAUCCGUACAGGUGGAAAGUGAUGACUCAUUCCACAGAUAGGAGCAGAGAGUUUAGGAGGCUUUGAAAUGUGUAUGCAUUAGGAAUCAUGGCUGUAAGGGGGCACAUAUUAGAGCAGAGACAUAUUUGAGGGUUUAAUGUAGUCAUACACUGUUCUCACUGGACUAGCACAUGUAGCUUAGGGAAUGCAAUUUUGUGUUUGAGUCCCAGAUCAAUCCUGAAUUUCUACUUUGGACCACAAGGUGGUGUCUCAUCUUCAUUAAUGCUGAAGUCAAGCACCCAGCUCAACCUGGAAACCCACCCAUACCCACCUCUUCACCCUUCCUAUACCCUGUUGUACCAGGUUUGUUUGUUUGUUUGUUUGUUUCCUGUAGAUGUAUCCAACCUUCUUAUUAAAUAAGAAACACAGAACCAAUGCAAAGAAGAAAGCCAAGAGGUCAGAGCUAAGAGCUAAAACCUUACCCUUCCUCCUGCGGUGGUCCUACCUCUCCGAACCAAAGCUACCCCUGUGUUAAAGUCUUUAUAUAGAGUUCCUGUCCUGCCUUCUCAUUGGUUUUAAACCCAACCACAUGACCGCCUCCUCACAGCCUGUCUGUAUAGGCCUCCAGGUUUUCCAUGAUUGGUAUUAAGAUUAAAGGCAUGUGUAUCCAAUAAUGGCUGUAUCCCUGAACACACAGAGACUUACCCAGCUCUGCCUACCAAGUGCUGGAAUUACAAGCGUACGCUACCACUGCCCUGCUUUCCUAUGGCUUGCUAAUAGCUCUGACCCCCGGGCAACUUUAUUUAUUAACAUACAAAUAACAUUUUAAUACAAAUAAAAUAUCACCAUAGUUUCCCAAGUGGCAGCAUUUCUAAAGAAAAUUUGGUUAACAUAUUUUUGUCAAGGAGACUUGUAUUUGGUCGAUCGUAUCUGUGGUAAGAUAUGCGUAUGCAUUUUCAGUGUUUUUAGUUCGCUCUUGAUCAUCUAUCACAGUCUCUUUCUUACAGCUUGGAACAGAAGCAUAUGGUACUUUGACAAGUGCCUGUCAUAGGCUGCACACCGGUUAGCUUGCGAGUGGGAAGUUCCAGAGGAGCCUGCUCAGAAGUUGACUUUCCAGCUGGGUAUACACAAGGUACCCAUACCAGAUGCUCAUAGAAGGAAGCACACAAGUCCAAUUGUCUAGGUUCUAGACUUGUGUUCAGUGUAAGAUCUCCAAAUCCAUGGGGGAUUAAUAUUUUCAGAUCUACUUAUUUUAUGUGUAUGAGUAUUGUGCCUGUGUGUAUGUAUGUAUGUGUGUGUGUGUGUGGUGUGUGUGUGUGUGUGUGUGUGUGUGUGUGUACGUAUGUAUGCCUGCCAUGUACAUACUGGCAGAGGUCAAGAAAAAACAUCAGAUCCCCUGGACUGAGUUACAGAUGGUUGUGAGCCAUCAUGUGGGUGCUGGGAACUGAACCCGGGUCUUCUGCAAGAGCAACAAGUACUCUUAACUGUCAAGCCAUCACACCAGCACCCUCCCCCACCCCUCCCCCCACACCAUGAAGGUUUAAGAUGGAUAGGGGCUCCCUGAUGUUUUACAUGGUGAUGUUGCCACAUGGAACUAAAACCAACAAUAAAUGCACUGGGUCGGUGAGAAAGGUUUCACAGCGGGGAGGGUGGUGACACUGGUGUAAAAUAGUGAUGUGCCUCAGUCUACCUAGUGCUGGGAUUACAGGCGAAUGUCACCAUUGUCCAGCUGUGACCUGUGCAUUCUUGAAAAGAACAUUUUGGACAAAAUAUAAACCAGGGAGUGUGAACAGCUUCUAAAUAUAAGCAGAUCUACAAGUGACAGAACAUUAUGUAAUCAUUGAGAUAGGUGGAUCUUCUUGGUGUGUACGCCUGUCUAUUUUCACAGGGGUGUGUGUGUGUGUUGUGUACGCACAUAUGAAAGCCAGAGGACUGCCUCUGGUGGUGGUCUUCAGAUGUGGCGAUGGCUAUUCUUGGUUGCCAACUUGACGUACCUGGGAUAAGGGACCCUCAACACCUGAGAAAUUACCUCUAUUACAUUGGCCUACAGGCUUGUCUGCGGGACGUGUUCUUAACUGCUGACCGAUGGAGGAGAGCCUAGCCCACUGUGGGUAGUGCCACCCUGGGGAAGUGGGCCUGCUUAUAUAGGAAGCAGGUGAGCUGACGCAGGACAAGCCAGUAAGCAGCCUUCCUCCGUGGUUUUGCCUUAACCUCUUGCCUUGAGUUCCUGUCUUGGCUUUCCUUGGAAGUCUCUGAGCAAAGGAAGGAACACCUUCCUAAGGAGGGGCCAAGGCAGAGGUGUCUUUCAGUGUUUGAAGAGCCACUGAACCUGAAACAUAGCUUGGGGAAGCAGGGCCUGAGGGAAUGUGUCCAGGAUGUACAGACUGGCCAGGUGGAGCACCUGAGCUAACUGCGGGGCCCGAAAGAAGCCAAGGACAGGAGUGGAGAGUUUACCUGGUGUAUUGAGCAGGUGUCAUCUCCGACAUACCUCGCUAAGCACAGUCCUGAGACAAAGGCGACUUCCUCCUCCUUGUGGCCUUGUUGUGUUUGCGCUUGACAUCUGGGCGGUUCUAAAGCUGGCGGACUGCUAGGGAGGAUGUGGCCGCUGGGAUCUGGCUCCCUGGGGCUCACAAUGAGCACAGCUUAUGAACACACUUUGAAAAAAACGACAAGACACUUGUGCUCUCGUGGCCCACCUCCCAACAGCCUCGUUGCUGACUCCAGUCAUGAUGGGUUUCUCCAGUGAGAGGUACUGGGAAGCAGAACUACCCAAUGGGGCUCCAGUUCCUUCACUUCCUGGCACAGAUCUCACAUGAAACAGACAAGGAAAUCCCAAAUCUCUGUUUACGAAGAUAACAGAAGCAUUGCAUGUCCUGACCGGGUUUACUUUGCAGGAGUUCCCACCAAGACCACACCAGAAGUCUUGUUCCCUCGAUGGAUGACUUUUUAUAUAUUUAAAUUUAGGAGAAUUCAGUGAACCUUCGCCUUCUAGAUAUUGUUAUGUACUGUUUUAAGAGAUGAACACAUGAAGUAGAAAGUUUAACAUGCUUUUAAAAUUUCAUACGUGCUUAAGAAUAAAUCACUAUUUUGGUCUUAGCUCUGAAUUUUGAGAAUUGGAUUAAGAGUUUUCUAAUUAUCACAAUAUCCAAGGCACGAAAUUGUUGUCACCUCCCAAAUUUCUCUUGUGCUGCCUUGGUGUCACCAAUUAUGCGUGCCCUUCACUCAGCAAACUGUCCUCAUUCUCUACAGACUUGACCUUUUCAGAAUGCCAUAUGAUGUAUAGGCUAUUACGGUCUAUCAACUAGGUGAGUUUGUUCAUCCAUUCUCUAAUAAAAUCUUAUCAAUAUUG